GAGUUUGAUCAUGGCUCAGGAUGAACGCUGGCGGCGUGCCUAAUACAUGCAAGUCGAGCGAACGGACGAGAAGCUUGCUUCUCUGAUGUUAGCGGCGGACGGGUGAGUAACACGUGGAUAACCUACCUAUAAGACUGGGAUAACUUCGGGAAACCGGAGCUAAUACCGGAUGAUAUUUUGAACCGCAUGGUUCAAAAGUGAAAGACGGUCUUGCUGUCACUUAUAGAUGGAUCCGCGCUGCAUUAGCUAGUUGGUAAGGUAACGGCUUACCAAGGCAACGAUGCAUAGCCGACCUGAGAGGGUGAUCGGCCACACUGGAACUGAGACACGGUCCAGACUCCUACGGGAGGCAGCAGUAGGGAAUCUUCCGCAAUGGGCGAAAGCCUGACGGAGCAACGCCGCGUGAGUGAUGAAGGUCUUCGGAUCGUAAAACUCUGUUAUUAGGGAAGAACAUAUGUGUAAGUAGCUGUGCACAUCUUGACGGUACCUAAUCAGAAAGCCACGG
rnacentral:rRNA from 1 species